GACGAACGCUGGCGGCGCGCUUAACACAUGCAAGUCGAGCGAAGCGGCGGACGGGUGAGUACCACGUGAGUAACCUGCCUUAGACAUUGGGAUAGCCUCUGGAAACCGGGAUUAAUACAAAAUGGUCUAAGAUGGACUCGCGUCCCAUUAGCGAGUUGGUGAGGUCACGGCCCACCAAGGCGACGAUGGGUCGCCGGACUGAGAGGGUGAACGGCAACAUUGGACCUGAGAAGCGGUCCAAACUCUACGGGAGGGAGCAGUGGGGAAUAUUGCACAAUGGAGGGAACUCUGAUGCAGCGACGCCGCGUGAACGAAGAAGGCUUUCGAGUCGUAAAGUUCUUUUAUAUGGGAAGCGGUACCAUAAGAAAAAGCCCCGGCUAACUACGUGCCAGCAGCCGCGGUAAUAC
rnacentral:rRNA from 1 species